CUCCUGGAGACCCGUUAAUCCUGGCGGGUAGCGUGUCCGUCUUCAUUCCCCAUUUCCAGCGGCGCGAGCUUGAGGCGUUGAUUCAUGGCGAUUUUUGACUAGAGAUUUCAGUAGCUGAUCUCUCGUGGGCAAGCCGGUGGUUAAGCAUCCGCUCCAACUCCCCUUUCCCAUCCUCUGCUUCCUUGUGCUCAAGCGCGCGCAGAGGGAGAGGCGAAAUCGAUGCCAUGGCGAUCUGGCUGCGUUGUCUUCUCUGCUUCUCUUGACUUCGUGCCACUCCUCAUAUUCCUCGAGUGGAUCUGCGAACCUUGUACCCCCUCCUCAUCCUCCAUCCAUGGUUGGUUUUGAUUUGUUAAUGCUAUAAGAGAGUCAUACAUUAAGGAACUUAGCUUCAUCAUGUUCGAGACAGGCAGGGGAGAGAAAUCUGUCUAAAUCAUACUUAGUAUGUGGUGAUUGCAAAGUUGGGGGUGUUUACCUGUGUUUAGUCAUCUUCGGCAGAGUGGAUCAUCUUCAGGUUUCUGUCCCAGAUCAUGGAGGAAUCGCCCCCUUGGUUGGCGCUUAUUCCCGUUUCCUCUAGCUGUUCCCCCCUCCAUGUUCUUCCCCUCUGCAGUGCAUUUUUGUAGUGGAUAUUACACUGAAAAUAAUAGUGGAGUUAUUAUUGUAAUUUUAUAGCUUUUCAAUGUAAUUUUUAGUGCUCCUAAUUUGUCAUGUCAUUUUAGGUGUGUGUGCGUAGGUGACAUGCAUCAUCCUGAUCCUUUCCUUUUCUUUUUGUUUUGCUUUAGCUUAGUGCACAUGUACAUAGUAAAGCUUGCCUGUAUAUUUGGGUUUUUUUUGCCCUCCUUGUUAUUUUUCUGUCAGAGCGGGAAAAGUUGGGU